rnacentral:lncRNA from 1 species
GAGGUUUUCUUAGUUUAACUUCAGAUCAAACUAGGCCGUACGUUGCUCCUGGACUGAAAUUCAGUGUGUGUGUGUGUGUCCCCCCCAGGUGAAGCUGUGCUGGGACGAUCUGAUGGCUGCUCACUGCGUCCAAUCAGCAGCCACUCAAAGCGCCUCCAGUCCCAUCCAGCUGGAUUUCCCUCAGGCUCAGGGAGCUCAGAUGGAUGCGUGUUUUCCUCCAGGAAGCCUUCCUACACGUCCAGAAUCUGAUAGUCCUGAUCCACAGCUGGACCCACUGCUUGAACCACCGCUUGAACCAGAGCUAAGACCACAGCUGGAACAACAGCUUGAAACACAGCUGGGACCACAACUAGGACAACAGCUGGGUCCACAGCUGGAACAACAGCUGGGACCACAACGAGGACAACAGCUGGGACCACAACUAGGACAAGAGCUUGGACCACAGCUGGGCAUCGUUCUCUCCCAACAGGCCAAGAUGUUACUCCAGCAGAUGCAGACCUUUGGCGAUCUACUGAAGAGUAGAAAACUGAGUCUUGAAAAGCAAACAGAGGGUUUGUGUCACCUCAGUGAAACUUUGGACUCGUUGGUAAAAAGUUUCCUCCUGACGAAUAAGGAGCUACGCCGCCUGAAGAAGCAGCACAGAGCAGACCUGGGUUGUCUUGACCCCACACGGACGUUGAAGGCACAGAUCUACUACUCUGUGUAUCUCAUGAGGAAGCUGAAGAAGUAUCAGGAGCAGCUCUAUGAGACUCCGCCCCCCUCCUUCCCUGUUCAGCCCGUGUGCUCGUCCACUCCACGAACCCCCCCACAGUUUCCAGCUGAUCCUGGUGAGAUGAAGGAACUGAGGUCAACCAGAGAAGGAAGUGACAACGACUACAAACACACACUCACCUCUCACUUCCUCCCACCUCUGAGCGAUGCUCACACACACAUGGAUCAAAGCAGUCAGUCCAGCUGCUUCCCUGGUCCUGUACCCAGCACCACCAGGACCAGAACCAGUAGCAGUAGCAGCAGCAGUGGCAGU